AACACUGCUAACGCGGUGCUAAUACCGGAUAAUGCAGCGGAUCCGCAUGGAUAUGUUGUUAAAGCUGGCCUCUUCAUGAAAGCUAGCACUUCAGGAUGGACUUGCGUCCCAUUAGUUUGUUGGCGGGGUAACGGCCCACCAAGACUACGAUGGGUAGCCGGCCUGAGAGGGUGAUCGGCCACACUGGGACUGAGAUACGGCCCAGACUCCUACGGGAGGCAGCAGUGAGGAAUAUUGCGCAAUGGUCGCAAGACUGACGCAGCAACGCCGCGUGAGGGAUGAAGUACUUCGGUAUGUAAACCUCUGUUAGAAGGGAAGAACGGGUGGAUGUCGAACAGGCAUUCAUCGUGACGGUACCUUCAGAGAAAGCCCCGGCUAACUCCGUGCCAGCAGCCGCGGUAAUACGGGGGGGGCAAGCGUUGUCCGGAAUUAUUGGGCGUAAAGGGCGCGUAGGUGGGACAGCAAGUCUGGGGUGCAAUCUUACGGCUUAACUGUAAGCUUGCCCUGGAUACUACUGUUCUUGAGUUCGGAAGAGGGUAGUGGAAUUCCUGGUGUAGCGGUGAAAUGCGUAGAUAUCAGGAAGAACACCGGUGGCGAAGGCGGCUACCUGGUCCGAUACUGACACUGAGGCGCGAAAGUGCGGGGAGCAAACAGGAUUAGAUACCCUGGUAGUCCGCACAGUAAACGUUG
rnacentral:rRNA from 1 species